rnacentral:rRNA from 1 species
UACGGAGGAUCCGAGCGUUAUCCGGAUUUAUUGGGUUUAAAGGGUGCGCAGGCGGGGGAUUAAGUCGGCGGUGAAAUUUUGCAGCUCAACUGUAAAAGUGCCUUCGAAACUGGUUUCCUUGAGUGUAGAUGAAGUAGGCGGAAUUUGUGGUGUAGCGGUGAAAUGCAUAGAUAUCACGAGGAACUCCGAUUGCGCAGGCAGCUUACUAAACUACUACUGACGCUCAGGCACGAAGGCGUGGGGAUCAAACAGGAUUAGAUACCCGGGUAGUCCCU